rnacentral:lncRNA from 1 species
GCAUGGUGGGCUGCAAUAAAAUGCAGCAGAAAGAUCCUAAAGAACAGACUUGAAAUCUUAAUCCAACGACCAAUAGGUGAUGUCCAGGAAGAUCGUAACCCCAUUUACUCAGUCAAUGAGGAACUGGGGGAGGGACCUGCGCACUAGGGGAUAAAUUGCUUGUUGAAACUCUGCUGGGGGUGGCUGCAUGCCAGCCAGACACCCAGUCUUGCAAGACUGUCAUUGAAAAUCUCCGUUUUGCUGUUCUCCGGGUCUCUGCGUCCAGUCUUUGUGUUUGGACGGACCUGCCGGGCCAUCUUUCUGCAAGAAGAUAAAGGAAGACCAGGAGUGCCUGCCGAACUCCUAUGGAGGAAGUCUAGGAGAGGAAGGGGACAGGGAGGAAGAUGGUGUCUGCAAACCAGGAAGCAGCCUUGCCAGACACAGGAUUGGCCACAACCUUGACCCCAGACUUCCAGCCUCCAGAACUGUGAGAAAUAAAUGUCCAUAUUGACUAGGGGCACAGGGCAUGGGGGAACUGGUUCCAGACCUGCCUCCUGGGAAGUUGGGAGGGGGCAUUUCAACCUGUUAAUUUCUCAAAUUAUGUAGUCAUU